rnacentral:lncRNA from 1 species
AAGUAGGGACUUUGAUAAUUUGAUUCAUCUGGUAGGGUUACGUGGAAACUGAAACCUAAAAUGAUUUGGUAACACGUAAAUUUGGGGCAAAAUUUUACCAUGUAAGAACAUAUAUGAGAUAAUAUCACUUUUGAUAAUAUAUAUAUUUUGCUUUGCUGAAAAGUGAAUCAAUCAGGAGCAUAUACAAACUGCCACAAAAUGUUAUUAAGCAAGUGGCUGUCUUGAUGUAAUUAACUAGAUGAAUUCUAAGGGGAAAAGGGGUGAGAUCUAUGUUAGCAAAUAAAUAGAAGAAAAAGGCUACAAACAGAAGUUAGGACUUAGGAUUGACACACUUUUCUCGGUUUUCUCUCUACUCAACUGAAUUGCAAUGUGAAACUGAAAUCUGUAUGAUUGUAGAUCCUUGAGUACUACCUGUACAGUUGUUUUACAAGUUUUCAUAUUAUGUUUUAAUAACAAAAUGAUAGUAUUUGUCAUGAUAGCUAGUGUAUGAUCCGCAUUAGAUGUCUCCUGGAAAUGCACAUCGCAACUUAUAGCUUAUUGCAUAAAUAUUGGAAGGCUCGAUGGAAUAGACCUAUGGCCUAGGAAAAUAUUGUUAUCAUCCACCACUUUUCGAAAAGCAAACUUCUGUUUACUGCUUUACUUUUCAGCACAGAAACACACAUCACUACCUGGGAUGGCAACAGUGCACAGGCUCUGAGAGUAACAAUUUAACAGAUGCAAUUUUUAUGGUGUGGCCAUUUUGUUCUCUUAUAUAUAUAUACACACACACACACACACACACACACACACACACACAUACACACACAAGAUGCCUAUAUUCUAGAUGAAAUGAGAUAAUCAUUUUUUCAACCGAAAGUCUGUCUGUUUUGUGGCAGUAUACCUGAGAUACACAUUAGCUUCCAUGGAUUGGAUUGUUUAUCUAGAAAUAAUAAUCUGCUAAGGUUUCUGUGUUGUAUUAUACUUGCCUAUAUAAAUAAUAAGAUGCUCUAGUUUUAGCGCACAGCCUUUCACAGAUUGAAUUUUCUUGCAUAUGCAGAUUCAGCAGAAGAAUGAGUUAGCAUUGUGUAUCAGAAGAUUGCUGCUAUCUAUCAGCAUUCAGCAGUUGCACAUUUUUUUCUUGCACACAGCAUAAAUUGGCCCAUGUAGGCUUUAGUUGUUCAAUAUAUGUCCAUUGUUGCCCAGC